GUAUAUGAGGUGAUUAAUUGGAGGGCAAAUCAAGUGCCAGCAGCCGCGGUAAUACUUGUUCCAAGAGUGUGUAUGAUGAUUGAUGCAGUUAAAAAGUCCGUAGUUUAUUUUUUUAAGAAGCAAUAUGAGGUGUACUGUAUAGUUGGGAGAAAGAUGAAAUGUGACGACCCUGACUGGACGAACAGAAGCGAAAGCUGUACACUUGUAUGUAUUUUCUGAACAAGGACGUAAGCUGGAGGAGCGAAGAUGAUUAGAUACCAUUGUAGUUCCAGCAGUAAACCAUGCCGACGAUGUGAUAUCGAAAUGUUAAUUUGUAUUACAUAAUAGGAAUUUGAGUUUUUUGGCUCUGGGGAUAGUAUGAUCGCAAGAUUGAAAAUCAAAGAAAUUGACGGAAGAAUACCACAAGGAGUGGAUUGUGCGGCUUAAUUUGACUCAACGCGAGGUAACUUACCAAUAUUUUAUUAUUUUGAGAGAACAGUUUUUUGUUUGAGAAUGAUAAUAGUGGUGCAUGGCCGUUUUCAAUGGAUGCUGUGAAGUUUUGAUUAAUUUCAACAAGACGUGAGACCCUUAUUUUUUAUUAAAGACAGACACAAUCAGUGUAGGAAGGAAAGGAUUAAAACAGGUCCGUUAUGCCCUCUGACAUUUUGGGCUGCACGCGCAAUACAAUAGAUAUA
rnacentral:rRNA from 1 species